UACGUAGGUGGCAAGCGUUGUCCGGAUUUACUGGGCGUAAAGAGCGCGCAGGCGGCUGGGCAAGUCCGAUGUGAAAGCUUCCGGCUUAACUGGAAAAUUGCAUCGGAAAACUGCUCGGCUUGAAGGUGGGAGAGGGUAGCGGGAAUUCCCGGUGUAGUGGUGAAACGUGCGUAGAUAGUACGGGAGGAACACCAGUGGCGGA
rnacentral:rRNA from 1 species